rnacentral:rRNA from 1 species
AGCAGCCGCGGUAAUUCCAGCUCCAAUAGCGUAUAUUAAAGUUGUUGCAGUUAAAAAGCUCGUAGUUGAAUUUCGGGGUCAGUAGGUCGGUCGUGCCACUGGUAUGAACUGGUUUUACUGAUUCCUCCCUCUUGAAGAACUGUAAUGCCAUUAAUUUGGUGUUGCAGGGAAUCAGGACUGUUACUUUGAAAAAAUUAGAGUGUUUAAAGCAGGCUUUAGCUUGAAUACAUUAGCAUGGAAUAAUGAAAUAGGACGUUUGAUCCUAUUUUGUUGGUUUCUAGGAUCGACGUAAUGAUUAAUAGGGAUAGUUGGGGGCAUUAGUAUUCAAUUGUCAGAGGUGAAAUUCUUGGAUUUAUUGAAGACUAACUACUGCGAAAGCAUUUGCCAAGGAUGUUUUCAUUAAUCAAGAACGAAAGUUAGGGGAUCGAAGACGAUCAGAUACCGUCGUAGUCUUAACCAUAAACUAUGCCGACUAGGGAUCGGAUGAUGUUAAUUUUUUAAUGACUCA